rnacentral:rRNA from 1 species
UACGGGGGGGGCAAGCGUUGUUCGGAAUUACUGGGCGUAAAGGGCUCGUAGGCGGCCAACUAAGUCGGACGUGAAAUCCCUCGGCUCAACUGAGGAACUGCGUCCGAUACUGGAUGGCUUGAGAUCGGGAGAGGGAUGUGGAAUUCCAGGUGUAGCGGUGAAAUGCGUAGAUAUCUGGAGGAACACCGGUGGCGAAGGCGGCAUCCUGGACCGACACUGACGCUGAUGAGCGAAAGCCAGGGGAGCAAACGGG